rnacentral:misc_RNA from 1 species
UCUUUUUUUUUUUUUUUUCCCCUUUUGUUUGAAGCCUGUUCAUCGUAGGAACUUUAGGGUUUCUAUUUUCUAUAAUUAGUUUUCGUUUUUUGCUUUAAUUUGAAGACGAUGAGGGUGGUAAAGUCUCAGGUGUGGCAACCCUGCAAGAAGAAGAGGUCUUGAUGAACAAUUUCUAGGGACUGAGAGAGAGACGCAGGAUUUGCAUUUUGCAAUUUGAAUAUAGGGAAAGUGAGAGUUACAGAGAGAAUUUGGAAUCCUACACACGCACAAAAACAUAGAGAGAGAGAGGGCAGAAUGACAUCUCGAGGGAGUGCUGCGACUAGCAGUCGGACGCGCGUAGGGAGGUACGAGUUGGGAAGGACGCUGGGAGAAGGGACAUUUGCUAAGGUGAAGUUUGCUAGGAAUUCAGAGACCGGAGAAAAUGUCGCGAUUAAGAUUCUCGAUAAAGAGAAGGUUCUCAGGCAUAAAAUGAUCGGUCAGAUUAAACGCGAAAUUUCAACCAUGAAACUAAUUAGACACCCAAAUGUGAUCCGUAUGUAU